rnacentral:rRNA from 1 species
GGGGUGAUGCUUGCACCCCGCUGACGAGCGGCGGACGGGUGAGUAAUGCAUAGGAAACUGCCCAGUAGUGGGGGAUAGCCCGGGGAAACCCGGAUUAAUACCGCGUACGCCCUUCGGGGGAAAGCAGGGGAUCUUCGGACCUUGCGCUAUUGGAUGUGCCUAUGUCGGAUUAGCUAGUUGGUGGGGUAAAGGCCUACCAAGGCGACGAUCCGUAGCUGGUCUGAGAGGAUGAUCAGCCACAUCGGGACUGAGACACGGCCCGAACUCCUACGGGAGGCAGCAGUGGGGAAUAUUGGACAAUGGGGGCAACCCUGAUCCCAGCCAUGCCGCGUGUGUGAAGAAGGCUUUCGGGUUGUAAAGCACUUUCAGUGAGGAGGAAAACUCUGCGACUAAUACUCGUAGGGCUUGACGUUACUCACAGAAGAAGCACCGGCUAACUCCGUGCCAGCAGCCGCGGUAAUACGGAGGGUGCAAGCGUUAAUCGGAAUUACUGGGCGUAAAGCGCGCGUAGGUGGUUUGAUAAGCGAGAUGUGAAAGCCCCGGGCUUAACCUGGGAACGGCAUUUCGAACUGUCAGGCUAGAGUAUGGUAGAGGGUAGUGGAAUUUCCUGUGUAGCGGUGAAAUGCGUAGAUAUAGGAAGGAACACCAGUGGCGAAGGCGGCUACCUGGACCAAUACUGACACUGAGGUGCGAAAGCGUGGGGAGCAAACAGGAUUAGAUACCCUGGUAGUCCACGCCGUAAACGAUGUCUACUAGCCGUUGGGACUCUUGAAGUCUUAGUGGCGCAGCUAACGCACUAAGUAGACCGCCUGGGGAGUACGGCCGCAAGGUUAAAACUCAAAUGAAUUGACGGGGGCCCGCACAAGCGGUGGAGCAUGUGGUUUAAUUCGACGCAACGCGAAGAACCUUACCUGGCCUUGACAUGCAGAGAACUUUCCAGAGAUGGAUUGGUGCCUUCGGGAACUCUGACACAGGUGCUGCAUGGCCGUCGUCAGCUCGUGUCGUGAGAUGUUGGGUUAAGUCCCGUAACGAGCGCAACCCCUAUCCCUAGUUGCUAGCAGUUCGGCUGAGAACUCUAGGGAGACUGCCGGUGACAAACCGGAGGAAGGUGGGGAUGACGUCAGGUCAUCAUGGCCCUUACGGCCAGGGCUACACACGUGCUACAAUGGUGCGCACAGAGGGCUGCAAACCCGCGAGGGGGAGCCAAUCUCACAAAACGCAUCGUAGUCCGGAUCGCAGUCUGCAACUCGACUGCGUGAA